AUUGAACGCUGGCGGCAUGCCUUACACAUGCAAGUCGAACGGCAGCGCGGACUUCGGUCUGGCGGCGAGUGGCGAACGGGUGAGUAACAUAUCGGAACGUGCCAGGAAGUGGGGGAUAACUAGUCGAAAGAUUAGCUAAUACCGCAUACGCCCCGAGGGGGAAAGUGGGGGAUCGCAAGACCUCAGUCUUGCUGAGCGGCCGAUAUCUGAUUAGCUAGUUGGUGGGGUAAAGGCCCACCAAGGAGACGAUCAGUAGCUGGUCUGAGAGGACGACCAGCCACACUGGGACUGAGACACGGCCCAGACUCCUACGGGAGGCAGCAGUGGGGAAUUUUGGACAAUGGGGGCAACCCUGAUCCAGCAAUGCCGCGUGAGUGAAGAAGGCCUUCGGGUUGUAAAGCUCUUUUGUCCGGGAAGAAAUCCCACCUGCUAAUACCGGGUGGGGAUGACGGUACUGGAAGAAUAAGCACCGGCUAACUACGUGCCAGCCGCCGCAGUAAAAC
rnacentral:rRNA from 1 species